rnacentral:rRNA from 1 species
CCUACGGGGCGCACCAGUGGGGAAUUUUCCGCAAUAGGCGAAAGCCUGACGGAGCAAUGCCGCGUGGAGGUAGAAGGCCCACGGGUCGUGAACUUCUUUUCCCGGAGAAGAAGCCCCGGCUAACUUCGUGCCAGCAGCCGCGGUAAUACGAAGGGGGCUAGCGUUGUUCGGAAAUACUGGGCGUAAAGCGCGCGUAGGCGGAUAGAUAAGUCAGAGGUGAAAUCCCGGGGCUCAACCCCGGAAUUGCCUUUGAUACUGUUUAUCUUGAGUGCAGAAGAGGUAAGUGGAAUUCCGAGUGUAGAGGUGAAAUUCGUAGAUAUUCGGAGGAACACCAGUGGCGAAGGCGGCUUACUGGUCUGCAACUGACGCUGAGGCGCGAAAGCGUGGGGAGCAAACAGGAUUAGAUACCCGGGUAGUC